AUUGAACGCUGGCGGCAUGCCUUACACAUGCAAGUCGAACGGCAGCAUGAUCUAGCUUGCUAGAUUGAUGGCGAGUGGCGAACGGGUGAGUAAUACAUCGGAACGUGCCCUGUAGUGGGGGAUAACUAGUCGCAAGAUUAGCUAAUACCGCAUACGACCUGAGGGUGAAAGUGGGGGACCGCAAGGCCUCAUGCUAUAGGAGCGGCCGAUGUCUGAUUAGCUAGUUGGUGAGGUAAAGGCUCACCAAGGCGACGAUCAGUAGCUGGUCUGAGAGGACGAUCAGCCACACUGGGACUGAGACACGGCCCAGACUCCUACGGGAGGCAGCAGUGGGGAAUUUUGGACAAUGGGCGAAAGCCUGAUCCAGCAAUGCCGCGUGUGUGAAGAAGGCCUUCGGGUUGUAAAGCACUUUUGUCCGGAAAGAAAUGGCUCUGGUUAAUACCUGGGGUCGAUGACGGUACCGGAAGAAUAAGGACCGGCUAAUUACGUG
rnacentral:rRNA from 1 species